CCAAAACGUCCAAAAAGCUCAACAAAUCUCUACAAAGUUCUUCAAUGGCCUUAGGCCAUUGUUAGAUCAAAUGUAUUGAAGUUUAUGCGUCGGGAAGCUCGGGAAGGCUGGGGGUCACGUCAUUGUGUCGUGAUUGUUGCGAAGUGAACUGAAGAAGUCGUGGAUCUUGAAGUUAAAACGGCUAAAGAUUCAAUUGGGGCGUGAUAAGGUAAGAUCCUCUCGUUAUAUUUAUGAAAUUUUGUUAAUUCAGGGUUGUAGUCGCUAAAUUAUAGCGUAUUUAGUUGAAGUGAGAAAAAAAAUGGAUAACAUGAUAUUGGUGUUAUUGAUUGGAUGAAUUGUUAGUGGUACUAAAAUUGGUAUUAUUGA